CCUACGGGCGGCAGCAGUGAGGAAUAUUGGUCACUGGCCGUGAGGCUGAACCAGCCAAGUAGCGUGAGGGAAGACUGCCCUAUGGGUUGUAAACCUCUUUUAUGCGGGGAUAAAGGUUUCCACGUGUGGAUGUUUGCGGGUACCGCAUGAAUAAGGACCGGCUAAUUCCAUGCCAGCAGCCGCGGGAGUACGGCAGGUCCGGGCGUGAUCCGGAUUGCUUGGGGUUAAAGGGAGCGUAGGCCGGUCUUUAAGCGUGCCGUGAAAUUUUGUGGCUCAACCAUGGGAGUGCGGCGCGAACUGGAGACCUUGAGUGCGCGGAAGGCAUGCGGAAUUCGUGGUGUAGCGGUGAAAUGCUUAGAUAUCACGAAGAACCCCGAUUGCGAAGGCAGCCUGCCGCAGCGUUACUGACGCUGAAGCACGAAAGCGCGGGUAUCGAACAGGAUUAGAUACCCGGGUAGUC
rnacentral:rRNA from 1 species